AACAUUCUGACAAGUAUGGUCCAAUUUUAUUCCUACGUUAUGGUUUUCGGAAAGUCCUACUCGUUUCAUCCCCAUCCGCUGUUGAAGAAUGUUUAACCAAGAAUGAUAUUGCAUUUGCAAAUCGACCACAUCUUAUAGUGGGUGAACACCUUGGUUACAAUUGUACUAGCAUCGGUUUCACUUCAUAUGGGGAUCACUGGUGCAACCUACGCCGCAUAACUGCUCUAGAGGUCUUGUCUUCAUAUCGUCUUCAAUUAUUUUCUAGUGUUCGGACAGAAGAAGUGCGUUCCUUAGUACUGUUGUGCGCAGCGGAAACUUAUGCACCAAUACCCAAGAUUGGAAUAGUGUAUGAAUUAAACAAAACAAAAUAGAGAAGAUGAAACUCCUUCUACUAUCAAACAAACCCACACAAAACACAAGAUUUACGUGGUUCGGCUAAUAUUGCCUACGUCCACGGACAAACAAAUAGAACUUUUACUAUUGGAGAAGAUAGUACAAAGCUUUCAAACAAAUGGAGAAACCCUAGGUUUCCUCCCUUCUCAAAUCCUCACCAAAUCUCUCAAAGAGACAAUCACAAAUUGAGGAUACAAACUCUCUCUCACAUCCAAGAUCCUCACAACUCUCACAAGGAGACAAACAACAAAUAUGGAUUGAGGAUACUAAACCAAUCCCUAAGACCUUAUAUUUAUAGCCUUUGGGGUGUACAAAACAAAUUCCUAAUAGGAAUACCAAACUUAAUCAAAUUGGAAGUCAUAUUCCAAAACCAAAUUCUAAAUCCUUAAUAUGGACUUAGAAAUCCAAAUAUGAAACGGAUUUCCUUAUAGAACCAGUUUCCCAACAAGUACUACAAUUGUUUGGUAAUUCAGAUUGCCCGAAUUUUCGUAAGGUAGAAUUUAAGACAAUGUUUUUUGAGCUUAUACUAAACUAGUAAUACCCGUGGCGCUGCCACGAUUGUCAUUUAAUUGUAUACGACAUAGCAAAUUAUAAUUUAGAUAAAUAAAUUUUGAUUAUUAUAUUUAAUUAUUUUUAUAGGAUUAAAUUUAGAUAAUGGUUUUAUUUUGUUAUAUUAUUGUUAUCACAUAAUUCAAAAAUAUAUAUUCUAUCUAUUUAUUGAAGUAAUUAAUAUAUAUUUUUAAUAUUAGGGAUUCUUUUUUUGGAAUGUAUGAGGCCUAUAUAAAUAUUGCUUUAGUAUGCUAUUUUUGAUUUAUUACUAUUAUUACAAUGGAAGACAAUAUUCUGUUUCUCUUGAUUUUGUUUAAUUUUUUUUUUUGGGGGGGGGGGAUGAAUGACUUUAAUAUUUCUGAAACUGAAGAAGUUGUUGGUGUUGGUAGCAAUAGAAUGGAUGAUAUUGAUAGUGAUAAUGAAAGAUCAAUUGAAGUUGACAUCAAUCUGGAUUCAAUUAUGUCAAUUAGAUCUGUGAAAUAUAUCCACAAAUAUAUAUUCAAAAGUAUUCGAACAACUUCUGCAGUAGUUGCGGUUGAAGAAGCAGGGAUAUGAGAUUUUUUAAAGGAUUUUUGAAUAUGUUAUAUUUAAAUUUAUCAGUUUGAUUUUUUGUUUCUUUGUCUGAAGGCAAUUAUAGGUUUUUUAAUUUUCUUUGUGUCAAUUGUUCCUUUUAGAGCUAUGUUUAGUUUUGUUCUUUUUUAGUUUUCUUCAUAUUUGAAUUAUAUAUAUUCUUUUAUCCAUGAUAGGCUCUCAAUCUAAAAUGGGUUACGAAAAUAAUAUGAAAAUAAUAUUCUUUGAUAACCAGAAGCUUACCUUUCAAAAGUCAAGAUUUAAAGCAAUAUAAUACAGAUCAAUAAAUUUAUACAGUGAACUCACAAAAUUAUCUUGUAUUAAUAGCAACAGGACUCGUAGUUGAGUAGAUUGAAUUCUAGGUUUAGAUAUAAAAUUAAGGAUUUUGCACCAUCUUAACAGUAGAUAGAGACUCUGGCAAGGUUUCACAAAUUCAAUUGCAAGGGAGUGUAGGCUUAUUUUUUUCGUUUCAAUGUCGUAGUUCACUCAUUUCUCUAACACUGCAUUUAAAUGAGAGCAAGUUGUGUCAUUACCCUGAAUCUUAUCGUUCCUAUCUUAGCUCAAACACACGUGCAACUAAAUCAGGACGAUCUAAUGCACUUUGACCUGGUUUAAGCUCAUUUUGAAUUUCGGGCCAUUUUGGAUUUGCAGUUACGGUUAUGAAAAUAUCUGGAUGUUUGUUGUAUCGUGUAAUUGCCAUAGAAUCUUGGUAUAUCUCGUACAUAUGCCUAGGACUGCCCAAAUGUGUGGAAGGAAGAAUAAAUCGUUUCCCAAGGUCUUUUGGGUUAUCACCGUUGUUAACAAUAUCUGUCAAUCCACUAUAUACAUCGCAACGAAGAUCAUCUUGGUACGUCCUUAUGUAAUACAACCGAUUUUGUUCAUAGGACGCCCAUGCAUCUACGAUAAAUUGUUGAAACAAAGGACCAGCUCGGAAUAAAGCAGAAUAUUCGGUAGUUCUCUCAAAUAAUCGAUAACAGAAAUACUCAAGUUGAGUCAAUCUAUUUCUUUUAAUAUUGCCUGCAAAAUAUUCUUCUUUGUUGACAUCCCAAUGCUUCAUAUCUGUAGACCAACCAAGAUCACCAGUUGGAAAUAAUAAGACAUAGUGUGACGGCAAAUACAGUGGACUACACUCACUUAUUCUCUCUAAAUUAUUAUUCCUGAGAUGCAAUAUUAUAUCUCGCUUAGAAGUCUUCACGGUUUCAUCUCCAGGAAUAAUAACAGCAAUAUCUUCUGAUGUUGGGAGAUUAUAACGCCUAGGAUCAGUUGUAGACGUGUAAACUAACCUUAUAGGAAUAUCUUGUUCCCCAUUAUUAUUAACUGCUUUCAGAACGUCGUAUGCACCUUUAAUUUGUAUAUCUUGCACAACUCAUUUGAUUGUAAGAUAGUUUCUUGUAUUAUUUUAAGAACAGCUGGAUCUAAGUGUAGGUUGCGUUUUUUCCGGGAAUCAAAUGCAACCUGAGGAUCAUAAAUAUACAGCUGAGAAUAACUUGGAGAUUUAUCUGACUCUGGCAACAACGAACCUAUUCUAUGGCACAACUCACCAUGAAUUGUAAAAGAAGUUGGUCCUCGACCCUUGAGAAUACGGUUGUCCAUCGAAACCCCCAAACUGGAAAAUGCAUUAGCAGCAUUAUAAGAUCUAAUAUUUUUCCUGAAAGAUCUUGACAAUGCAUCUGAACCUUCGUACAAUGAUUGAAUAGCAGAAGGCAAUGGUGUAAGCAGUGGCAACUUUAUCUUUCCUUGUAGACAACACAUACCAAAUAAUGCAUUAUUUUUCCUGGACUUGGAUAAUUGUUCAUCUAACCAAUGGUAGGCCGAACAUGAUUUACACAUGAUAUCCAUUUUACCAAGAUAGUGUCUUUCUUUGGGAAUUUCUACUAUUUGUUCGAAUGGUAUCUCAAUCUCAUCUUCGAAAAUAGUAUCGUAAUGAGAAUCAAGUACAGGAGGUACAUCAGUAGUAGUGUCAUUGCAUGUGGUCGUAGAACUCUCUCUAAAAAAAAUAUAUGGAAAAAACAUUAUAGUGUCAUUAUAGUCAUUUUAUUAUCUAAGCUUCAAAUUAAAAAUCUAACUGCAACUUCUAAAAAUUUAUAUUAGUAAAUAAGAAAUAUAGUUAACUAUAUAUAAACAACUUACUUGAUAGGGCAUCGUUUUAUAACAUUGUAUUCACGGGAAGAAUCUCCAGUUGACGAUGAACCAUAGAAAUAUGUAAUAACCUCAACAAUAGGUUGUUUUCCUUUGGUUUGUUCUAAUAACUGAUCUCCAGCUUGUGAUAGUCCAUCCACUACCUCUUCCACAGCUUGUGAUACUCCAUCCACUAUUCCAUCCAUUGAAUAAACAAAACAAUUUUCUUUUUCUUUUUCUUUUUCUUUUUUCCUUCGAAGACGUUGGCCUAUUGUGUGAGUCUUGUCCAAUAGAGUGCUACAUAAAAUGAAACAUUUGUAAAUUUCUUUAAAAUAAAAGUUUAUAUGUAUUACUAUCAAAAUACAAUUAUACAUACUUUGCAUUCCCUUCUUUAUUCGGCGUUGUGUUUGUUUUUUUGGAAUUCCCAACAGAACGUUCUCUCUUUCUUCUUUUUCGUUGACUGAUUUAUUGUCUGCUUAGCCCUUCAAGGUUUUCUUCUUGCAUGCAUUGCCUUUAGUAAAACAAUACUAUAUUUUAAAACUUUUUUAAACAGUAAUAAAAUAUUUAGUGUUUAAAAAAUAAAUACUUACUCUGUUUCAAUUAUCUCUGGCAAUGUGGCAUCAUUAUUGUUAGAAACUGUUAGAGGAACAUCUGCUUUGCCGCAAUGCGUUACAGUAGAUAAUGAAAUCCUAAAUUUGUUAACGAUAAAAAAAUUCAGACCCCAUUUAUAUAACUAUUUUAGCUAAAUAAUUAUAGUAACAGAAUAUAUACUUACUCUUCUUGAUUUGUUGCUCGCAAUAUGGUAGGAUUGGUUGGAGGGACAUCCUUGUUGAUGCGUUGUCUUUUAUUGGACAAUAAAAUCCUAUAUGAUUGAAUAGUAAGGAAGAAUUAUACUCCAUAACAGUAAUAAAAUACUCAGUGUUGAAGAAAAUAAAUACUUACUCUGUUUCAAUUAUCUCUGGCAAUGUGCCAUCAUUAUUGUUAGAAACUGUUGGGAGAACAUCCUCUUUAUCGCAUUGCGUUAUAUUGGAUAACGGUAUACUAAAUAUUUUAAGAAAAAAAAAAAAUUCAAACUCCACACUCUACUGAUAUAACACUUUGAAUAAAUAAACACGUAGUCUUAACAGAAUAUAUACUUACUCUACUUGAGGAACUUCCUUGUUGACGCAUUGUCUUUUAUUGGAUAAUAAAAUCCUAUAUGUUUGAAUAGUAAAGAAGAAUUAUAUUGUGUUUUUAUCAAUUUUGUCAAUAUGAACAUAUCGAAAAUAGAGGAAAGAGUGUAAGUUAUAAAUAAAAAAUUAACUCACUUUUGUCCUGAUCGUUCAUUUUCUCUUCGUUUGCGUUGUGCUAUUUGGUAAUUGGACAAUAACACGAUGUUAUUUCCUGCACUGGUUUCUCGUGCUACACUUUUGGUUGGUGUUUCGUUGUUGCUGGAAUUUAAUAAACCCCUACAUUUUUGGUAUUAGUAAAUGAGUUGAUAUCAUUAUUGAUAAGGUAAUUCAUUUUAAAAUGUAGAAAUUACUCACUUUUGUUUAGCACGUUCUUUUUCUCUUCGUCUGCGUUGUGCUAUCUGAGCUUUAGACAAUGACACGACGUUAUCUUCUGCAAUGGUUUCCCUAAGAAAAAAAAAUAGUUAUAUAACAUUACGCAAUAAUUAAUAUUAUAUAUCAUAGUAUAUAUUAUUAUACACUUACUGUUCUACUGUUAUGCGUACUCCUGAACAUCCAUUGUUAGAAGAAUUUUCUUUUCCGGUAUUCAUUCCUGAAAUUAAAACCAUGAAUUGUUGUACGUAAAUUACUUAAAUCAACAGAGGAUUGAAUGAUAGGAAUAAUCCAUAAAUAAUCAACAGACUGUAGCUGAUAAUAUUUAUCAUGCCGAAUGUAGGUACAGGAAUGUCAAUUAAAUAUAAGAGAGAAAUAAUCUAAAAAGAGAGUUACACUAAAUAAAAAAAAAAAGAAGAAUAUAACAAAUUAUAUUUACCUCAAUUAGUUGAUGAAGAGAAGAGAGGAGAAAAAUAGUUUUAGAAUUUAAUUAACAAUUAUUUGAGAUAAACAGAAUAACUUUAGUAGAGCAGAUUAAAAAUUCACUAUACCAAUGCUACUGUCACAGGCAUGUUAUUUGGAAAUUUCUGGCUAUUUUGAGAUAAUCAAGCACAAAUUUGACUGCAACAGUAAACAGUUCUGAAUCAAAUAGGGUACUUACCGUUGAAGAAGAAGGACGACUAAGAAGAACUUGAUGUUGUUGGGCUUGAAUUCAAACAGAUUAAAAAGGACUGGACGAUUAAAAAUUUAAAAUCCAAUCAGAAAAAUUGAAAAAAAAAUUGAGCAGAAUUUAGAACCAAUCGUAUUUGCUUCAAAUACAGGGAAGAUAUUAAGACUACAAAAAAAAUCCUAUAUGGUAAAUACACUGCCAAGGAUGAUGACUUAAGCGUUUCCAAGAUGGGAAGAUAUUAUUACCAUUUGUAUCCCCAUUGCAGCAACUAAUUAAGGAAGAUUGUGCCUAUGUGGAGGGGCUAGUAUUAUUCUAAGAAAUCAAUAUUGUAUUUAAGAAAAAAAAAAAAAAUUCUUCACUGCACUUGAACUUACAAUAUGAUGCCAUUGUUCAUAUGAUAUAAUUAGAGUAACCUAAAUGCACCAUCUAAAUGAAUCUAAAAAAGGAGGAAUAAAUGAUGAUUACCUGAUAAACAGCAGUGAUAACACCUAGAGAGAUGGAGAUUGAGAGUGGAGGGUGUAGCUAUAUUUGUUAGAACCUGUAUGCAUUGAUUGUACAUACGCUCCUGCUUAAUAGAAGAAAAUAACCACAACUUGAGACAUGACAUAGGAGUAUCUAUACACAUUACACAGAAAAUGGAUUGAUAGUUCUGCAGUAUUAUGGUUACAAUAAACAGAAUGUCACUUCUUCAACAUUAACAUUACAGAGUUAAAUAUUGAGAAGGUUACUGAGAUUUUAAAAAUGGGAAAGAUAACUGAAUAUGACAUAACAUGAGUACUAUAGAUUUUUUAAAUAUUCCAUGUUGUAUCCGUUUCACAGUCACUCGGAUACCCAAAUACAUAUUUAGAUUAGGAACAUCUCAGUUUUUUAGUAUUUGUUGUGUUCUAUACUUUGUGCCCGUGUCAGCUACCAAACACUACCCAUGUUAAUGUCACUUAGAUCGAAUCUAAUGCCCAGCUUCUUAUCUUGACUAACUAAACUGAAGCUAAAUAUACUUAAAUACAGAAAGAUACGGAAUACAAUGUAUUGAUAAUUAAUAUAUAUAUAUAUAUAAUCCAAACACGGUUUUAAGUUUAGUCGUUGGUUCAAAUCAUGAAGUUCAGACACUCUUUAUUUAAUAGAAUUAAAUUAACAGCAUGGCAAUGUGUUUAAAAAUAUAAAUACAGGCGGAAGUAACCAAACAAAACAGAGUAAUAUACAAAAUGCAAAAGACCACAUAUAACAAACAUAUAUACAAAAGGGAUGCAAAAUUUCUUUCUAACCAAUGGCAAUAUUUCUACGCAUAUAUAUCAAACACUCAGAGUCCAUACUGGGUACUUCACCGAUUCUUCCUACCACAAAAGAUUUCUACUAAACCUGUAGUGAAAUUUAAUCAAUUUUACCUACUUUAUUUCUACCUAUUGAACAUUAACUGACCUAAGUUUUCUUCCAAGUUUGUCUCUGUAAUUUUUACAGAGGAUAAGUUGGCUGCUAGAGGGUUCACAAUAAUGUGUGUUGUGUAGUAACAAUGUGGGAGAAUCAAUCAUUCAUAUAUACGUUCAUCACAUGUCCUGCAGUGAAGGCAGUCUGGCAGGCUGUUGCUGGCCAUUUACAAACUGUUGCAGGGGCUUUGGAGCAAGCUGAGAUCAGGGAAGUACAGCAGAUGAAGUAAUGCAGCAGAUAAGGAAGGAAGAAAAACAAAAUGUCAAGAAAAAGAGUUCCGAGAAAGUUUGUUGAGAUUUUGUUCAACAGAACCAUUUUUCAUUUGUUUGUUAAAAUCAAAACAAAAUAAAAAACUGCCCAUUAGGAAAACUCAAUGAACGCAAACCAUGCAAGAUCAAAACUAUAUCUCGAAGUGUAAAACGGAAAUGAAUGAAUAAGAAGAACCAUACCGCAAUGCAGCCUUUUCGAGUAGAGUCUCAGAUUAUGUUAUGUAUAUUCCCUUCGAAAUUGAAGGAAGCCAACAAUUCAUACCGUUCGAGUAAAAAAUUUUAAUAGAAAAAAUAUAUGUUAAGGUGGCUACUCAAUUCAUAUCCAAUGUACUUGCUUGAGAUCUGGUAUUAUUACUUAGUAUAUUUUUUUUCUGUUAAUCUUUUCAUUAUUAAGAGCAUCUACAAAUGGGAUGAAAUUGUAAAAUUAACUAAACUGUGCCACAGAUUAUCGUUUUUCAGCAUUUGAAAAUUCAUAUUCAUCGUAAACACAAAGGUCUUAUUGCUGUAUACUUUAAGGAACAUCAGCUUGUUAAAUGCGUUUCUUUUAUCGAUACUACAACUGUAACUACGGGGAUGUACGGAUAUCACAUAUAAUUGCAACAGCAGAAGGAUUCUUUAUGUGGAUAUAUAUUCUCUAAAUGGGGUACAGGUGCAUCCAAAUGGUAGUUCUUAUGUUGUGUUGUUACUAUUUGACAAAUCGAAAUUGAAUACAUACUUUUAUAGUUUUAUGUAACAACAAAUCACUAUAUGGGUGUUAUAUAUAUUAUUUAAUCAUAUUAGUGAAAACAGGACUCUGUUCCUUUAAAUCUGUAGACUAAACGUAUGUUUACAAUUAGGAUCAUAGUUUCUAUUUAUUUUAUUUUCAACCACAUGAUUAUUAGGAAGCAGAUUGAAACUGGUGCAAAUAUAGUCACUGGCACCAGAUAUGUUAGAGGCGGUGGUGUACAUGGAUGGAACCUUAUGCGUAAACUGACGAGUAGAGGAGCUAAUGUAAAUAGUUUAGCAGAAAAUUAAUACUAUUAUGAAGGAUUUAUUGAUUGGUUGUAAGCAAUUGUUCAUAAUAUUGACCAACAAUAAUCGUAUAAACUAAUUCAGAAAAUUAAUUAGGGUUUAAGAAGAGAGAAAUUAAUUACCUUUUGAGCGAGAGGAGGAUGAUGAUCAAGAAGACAGUGAGGUGUGGUUGUGAUGAAGACGAUGAUCAAAGGUUAUGUAAAAAAUUAAGAAAUUGCAAAGCUUUAAGCAAUUGAUUGAUUGGUUAUAAAUUGGUUUUGAAAUUGGGAAAUUCAGAAAAAAUAAACUAGAUGAUGAAGAUGAUUGAAGACUCGACGAUUAAAAGUAAAUGAAGAUGAUUGAAGACUCGAUGAUAGAAGUAGAUGAAGAAGAAGGUUGACUCGAUUAUUUGUUUACGAAGGUUUAAGGUUUAAGGUUUUCUAAAGUUUAAGGUUUAAGGUUUUCUAAAGUUUAAUGAUUAUUAGUCCUAGUCAAAUUAAGCACCCUUUGCUGGUUAUAAUUUAGAUGUUUUGAUGCGAAUGAUUGUUGGCAAGAGGUACUAUGGAGAAAAUUUGGAGCAUUUAGAUGAAGCAAAGCGAUUUCAUGCUAUAGUUACAGAAUCAUUUUAUUUGAUUGGGAUACCAAACUUAGCGGAUCUUUUGCCAUUUUUACGCUGGUUUGAUAUACAAGGACUUGAGAAGAGAAUGGUGAAAUUAGGUAAGGACAGAGACUCUUUCAUGCAAAAACUAAUUGAUGAACAUAGAGAGAACAAACAUAAUGCAACAAAGGAUGAUGUUCAAGAAAAGAAGACUAUAAUCCAUGUUUUGUUGUUGCAGCAAAAAACUGAUCCAGAAUACUACACUGAUGAAAUAAUAAAAGGAAUAAUUGUUGCAAGUACAUAUUACUUUUUUUCUUUUUCUUUUUUUUUUUUUAAAAAAAAAAAAAAAUUCAAAUUUUAUUGAUAAACUCAACGAAUUACACAAAAGUAGAGGACAAACGCGCUACAAACUGCGCGGCAAGUUCUUUUUUUUUUUUUUUUUUUUUUCCUUAUUGGCAACCGGGGUUGAGGGGACCCCUACCCCUUCAAUAUGUUUAUAUCAACAAUCAGCUGUUGAAGUAUUUCGAACCCACAACCUCUCCACCUUGUGAGAGGGGUGCUGCCAUUGAGCCACAGGCUCAUUUGCAAGUAUCAGUUACCCUUUGUUUUUCUAUUAUUUAAAUUUAAUUGACAAAUUAUAUAUUUGUUCAUUAUUGACUUUGAAUCUCUUAUAAUAAUUGUGACUUUGAACCAAAUUUAAAUGAAUCAAGUUUGCUAUUCAGAAAGGAAUCAGCAACACAGUUUGUUCCACGCUUAAACAACUCUUAUAAAAGUUAUUUUGAAUAUUAAUAAAAUAUAAGUUUUUGUACCAAAAAAAUAAAAUACAAGUUUUUUACAAAGAUAUCAAUAAAAUAUAAAAGAUAUGGUUUGGAAAAAUAAAGCUAAAUUUGAAUCAUAUAUAAAGAUAGUUGACUAGAGUAUGAUUUUGAUGCACACCAGCAGAUUUCAAUUGGCUUCACUGCUAAUUUUUAUUUUACUUUUAUUUUUAUUUUUUUGGUGCCCUGAAUGAUAACAAAAAGAUUUAUGUGAAUGCAAAUAAUAUGAAUCAAUCAUAUAUCUGGCUUUUGUUAAGAUGAUUCUAUGGAAAGCCCGUCCAAUAAAUAGCCCCAACUUUGAGUCAUUUGUUGCAGCAGGGCAAAUCAGCAAACAAACACUGUCUUGGAUCAUGAUAUACCCCAAACAUUGAUAUAGUGCUUUAUUAUUUUUUGCAGGCUUUGUUAUCAGCCGGGACAGAUACAUCAUCCUUAACUAUGGAAUGGGCAAUGUCACUUUUACUAAACCAUCCUGAGAUCUUGAAGAAGGCGAGGGAUGAAAUCGACAAACAAGUGGGACAAGAACGUUUCUUAGAAGAAUCAGAUCUUCCUAAGCUUCCAUAUCUCAAUAACAUCAUCAAUGAGACACUUCGGCUAUAUCCCACAGGGCCAGUAGUAACCCAUGAGUCAGGUAAAGAUUGCACUGUGGGAGGAUAUCAUGUACCUAGUAACACCAUGCUUCUUAUGAACUUAUGGGCUGUGCAUAGGGAUCCAAAUGUAUGGGCAGAACCUACAAAGUUUAAUCCUGAAAGGUUCAAAGGAAUUGAAAAAGGAAAGGACGGAUUUAAGUUUAUUCCAUUUGGGUCAGGAAGAAGAAGAUGUCCUGGUGAAGGCUUGGCAACUCGUAUGAUCGGGCUUACAUUGGGCUCAUUAAUCCAAUGUUUUGAGUGGAAAAGAGUUGGGGAAGAAAUGGUGGAUAUGAGUGAAGGGACUGGACUCACAUUACCAAGAGCCAACCCACUGUUUGCAAUGUGCAAGCCAAAUCCAGCCAUGAAACACAUGAUUACUUAAAUUUGACCAGAAAAUGUUGAUUAAGGGUGACUGUAAGAACGUGAUGGAAGCUGUUAGGGGUGUUGAUGGUGGUGGUGGGCAGUGGCGAGGUGGAGCUGAGGAAAAAAAGGGAUGAGAAAGAAGAUGAGAACCGGAAGCAGUGACUGCUGUUGCUAAAACUUGUUAGUUUAGUCAUCUAGGAGAGAGAGAGAGAGAGAGAGAGAGAGAGAGAGAGAGAGAGAGAGAGAGAGAGAGAGAGAGAGAGAGAGAGAGAGAGAGAGAGAGAGAGAGAGAGAGAGAGAGGUGGCAAUGGUGGCUGGUAGUGGUAGAGAAGGAGUUGAAGAAGAAGAUAAAUUUAAAGAAUAGGAGCCGUUAGAUUAUGGCCAUCUGCUCAAACACAACAAUGACAUGUGUUUUGAAAAUAUUUUUUAUUUUUUCCAGCAUGUGCAGUGCACAUGUCAGGGGCAGAUUCUGGUAUUUAGAAAAAAAGUUCGGUUUAACCGGGUUUUUUGGGAAUAUGGUUCGAAAUUGAUUGCCAAAACCUAAUUUCCAAAGAAAAAGACUCCAAAGCCUAAUUAGUAUAAACUUACAGUGGCCAAAACCUAAACCACCCUAUAUUUCUCUUUCUAUGAGUCUCUCUUCUUCUCCUCAGAUUUCAAAUAUGCAUGCAACAUAUAUAAGCCUAAGAAUAAGAUCACACGCACGCAGAGUGCAUGAUAUGCAUUUGCAUUAUCAGUUUAUCACAUAGUUACGUAGUGACGCGGUGAAACAUGCAUCAUACAUGCAUGUACAUGUGUGGAGAGAUGGUGAAACAUGUAGGAUCUAUCGGUUCGGUCCAUAUAUAUAUAUCGGACCCAUGGUAACGAUGUGUUAACAACAUGUAAAGAAAUAAUGGGAUUGUGGGACUAGUACGUUAUAAGUAAUGAACCAUUUGCAGUUUUAGAAGAAUCAUUAGGUAAAGAAGUUAGUGAUAUAGGUGUGUUGAGUUAAAUAUAUAUGGCAGGAACUUACAUGCAUGUAGCUCGAAAAUAAAUGGUAAUGUACAAGAUGUUGGAGUGACAGACAGAAGUUGUACCUUGAGACAGAUAAGUGGACUGAGUAGAUCCCAAGGGAAAUUAAGAAAGAACACGUACAAAAGUUUUAACUUCUUUUGGAACUAAUUGGUGGAGGUCGAUCAUUCAUUAUUUGGACAAUUCUAACUCCUUAAGAUAUUUACCAUAUCUGGCUGUUGAUGACUUGAUCUUGAUUUGCAUAUAUAAGACUACAUCUAAUGUAGCCUAUAUAUAUAUAUAUAUAAACUACUUGAUAUAGAUCAUAAGCUCACACUUUGAAAUCAUGACUUUCUUGAUCAUGUAUGCAUUCUUAGUUUUCUGCUUUAUUUUCAUCUGCAAACAAAUAUUGUAUCAAAACACAGACAAAACAUCAAUCCCUUUUCCUGUUAUCAUACUACACCAUGUACUGCACCUCGUCAUCUUCAAGAAACCCCUUCAUAGAUCACUAGCAAAACUUUCUGAAAAAUAUGGUCAAAUUGUAUUUCUAGGCUAUGGUUUUCGCAAAGUUCUACUUAUCUCAUCCUCAUCCUCCAUUGAGGAAUGCUUAACCAAGAAUGAUAUUGCUUUUGCAAAUAGACCUAAUCUUAUUGUGGGUGAACACCUUGGUUACGUACAAUUGGACUACGCUAGUUUGGGCUCCGUAUGGUGAUCAUUGGCGCAACUUACGCCGCAUAACUUCCCUAGAGGUCCUUUCAUCGUAUCGUCUUGAAUUAUUUUCUAGUGUUCGGAGCGAAGAAGUGCGUUCUCUAGUCCUACCACUCUUUCGUGAUUCAGAUUGUCAUAAAUUUCAUAAGGUAGAAUUUAAGACAUUGUUUUUUGAACUUGUACUAAAUAUUUUGAUGAGAAUGAUUGCUGGCAAGAGGUACUAUGGAGAAGAUGAUGCGGAUACAGAUGAAGCGAAACUUUUUCGAGCUACUGUUAAAGACUCGUUCUAUUUGAUGGGCACACCAAACAUUGCUGAUUUUUUGCCAUUUUUACGUCGGUUUGAUAUGCAAGGACUUGAGAAAAGAAUGGUGAAAACAGGUAAAGAAAGAGACUCUGUAUGGCAAAGAUUAAUUGAUGAACAUAGAGAAAGAAAAAAUGUUACAACAAAUCAGGGUGAUCAAGAAAAGAAGACUAUGAUUGAUGUGUUAUUGUUGCAACAAAGAGCGGAUCCAGAAUAUUACACUGAUGAAAUCAUCAAAGGUAUUAUUGCGGUAAGUAUAUAUAUAAUCAUCGUUAUUCUUUUGGUUUGGAUAUUUUUGGAAUCACAUCGUCUCUCAAUUUAGUUUGAUAUUUGGUGUAGGCUUUGCUAACCGCUGGGACCGAUACAUCGGCUUUGACCAUUGAAUGGGCAAUGUCACUUUUACUAAACCAUCCUGAGUUCUUGAAGAAGGCAAAAGACGAAAUCAACUUGCAUGUAGGGAACGAACGUUUCCUAGAAGAAUCUGAUCUUCCUAAUCUUCUAUAUCUCAAUAAUAUCAUCAAUGAAACGCUUCGGCUGUAUCCCAUAGGACCAGUAGUGGUCCAUGAGUCAAGUGAAGAUUGUACUGUAGGAGGGUUUCAUGUGCCUAGUAACACCAUGCUUCUAAUGAACUUAUGGGAUGUGCAUAGGGAUCCAAAUGUAUGGGUAGAACCCAUGAAAUUUAAUCCAGAGAGGUUUGAAGGAAUUGAAAAUGUAAAUGAUGGAUUCAAGUUUAUUCCAUUUGGGUCAGGAAGAAGAAGAUGUCCUGGUGAGGGUUUGGCAACUCGAAUGGUAGCGCUUACAUUGGGCUCAUUGAUCCAAUGUUUUGAGUGGAAAAGGGUGCGGGAAGAAAUGGUGAAUAUGCGCGAAGGGACUGGAAUCACAUUAGCUAGGGCUAAUCCAUUAGUUGCAAUGUGCAAGCCAAAUCCAGCCAUGAAACACAUAAUUACUAAAAUUUGAAAAUCUAGUUCUGAUGUUUAGGAACAUAUGUUAUGUAUAUACCCAUUACCGAGUUCCUUCACUCGGAAUACCAAACACCGACUUUACACUUAUUUCAUCCGACUUCGCAUCUAAUCACACUUCAUUCAUUUCCAUUCAAAUCUUAAUCUUACCAACUCGGUAUGUAAAACACCGACUUGACACUUAUUUCAUCCGACUUCGUAUAAAACCAUAUUUCAUUCAUUUUCAUUCAAAUCCUAAUCUCAUAAAGUAUCCGAGCACAUCCGACUUGGGGCUAACUCACUCUGAACACCGAGUUCGACACAUUCAAACUCCAAAUCAUACGACGGUUACGAAUCUAUCCCAUUGAAUCCCUGAAUAUCCGCACACUUUAUGAUCCGAACGUUGAGCCAUUAUUGAUCCACAACCUAAGCCACCUAUAAAAGGAACUACGUUUGGCUUGAUUCUGGAUCGCCCCUUCCAGAUACGUAGGCAGCUAUCCAUGCUCAGAUAGUUCAGCCACUCUCAAUCACUCAAAACCUUCCUCUCUCCGAUCAUCUUCCACAACUUUCCGGCUAGAAUUUCCACUACAUUUACAUUGGCGUCGACUGACUGUGAACGAAUCAUAACCUGACGAAGACCAUGGCCGGAAUCACACAAGAGCAAUUUGAGACCUUCCAACGACAACUUACUGAACAACAGGAGCAGAUCAACAAGUUGCUAGCUGAAAACGCCCAACUGAAAAACCCUACCAUCCCUCCGGCAGCUGGCCAAGCAACUGAUGAAAUCAACACCAACAACCCUAUCGUCAUACCAACUUCCAGCAACACCACUGCCCCCACCAUGGCUGAAAUGCAAGAAACCCACAACCGCCUCCUACAACUUUCAGCCCAGCUUCAUAAGAACAACCAGGAAUCUGGUAAGACCAAUACAGCUCAAAGGGUGGCCAACACCACCUUAGAAAAAUAUAGAACAGAGCCCUUACACGAUGACCUCCUUCAUCAGGAACCACCCCCACACUUCAUUCCCCCUAAGUUCACAACCUAUGAUGGAAGUGGUGACCCCAUGGACCACGUCCUACAAUUCAAGACUAGCAUGGCACUGUGGCCCAAGUACAAGGAUAUCUUCUGCAGACUCUUUUCUGCCUCACUCCGAGGUAGUGCUAUCGAUUGGUACCACCGACUCCCAGAACGCUCAAUCACGUCGUACGACCAGCUUGAGGCACUCUUCGUCACCCAAUACAUCCACAAUAAGCGGCGAAAAACUGAGGUAACCGCAUUAUUCCGACUUAAGCAGGGUGACACUGAAACAACCAAAAAAUUCAUGGCUCGCUUUAAGAAGGAGUGCCUCAAGGCAAAUAGUCCAGAUGAGAACGCAUGCCUGUUAGCGUUCAUCUCGGCUGUUCACCCCGAAACCGCCUUAGGGAAAAAUAUCAUCCACUACUACAGAAAAAGGUUUUUGCAGCGUUUAGAAACGUUGCACAUACUGUCCAAAACGUUGCAAUUAGAAUAUUAGCCACGUAAAAAUAGCGUUGCCCGUCCGUUGCAUUAGAUUGGGUGACUAUUACUCAUUUGCAACGUUAUAAAGCGUUGCUACUACAUGAACUAUUGGCAACGUUAAAAAGCGUUGCUACUACUCUAUAUACGUUGCAAUUAUUAUUUUUCUGACUUCUAUAUUUUAAAUUAAAAAAAUGCUUUUAUAUUCAAAAAAAAUUUAGUUGCAACGUUCUAAACGUUGCGAGUUCUAGCGUUGCUAUUAUACAUUAGGUAGACAUUCGUCGCAAUUAUACCAUUAACAACGACAUAAUAACAACGCUUUUUAACGUUGCAAUCGAAGAAUCUAGUUGCAACGAUUAUGAACAGUUGCAAUUAAGUGAACUUAGUUGCAAUGCUUUUUGAAGCGUUGCAAAUAUAAUUGUAAAAGUAACGAUUACUUACGUUGCAAUUAAAUUAAUUAGUUGCAACGGUGUCCUAAGCGUUGCAAGUAUUAGAUUAAUUGCAACGUCGUUCAGAUGUUGCAAAUAAUACUUCAGCUGAAUUUAAACUAAUAUUUGCAACGAUUAUUACCCCUUUGGCAACAUUUGUAUUCGUUGCAAUCUUUUUAAAAUAUACAUUUCUAUUUUGAAAGUCGACACCUAUUUGCAACGCUUAUUUUUUUUUUUUCACUCUCGUUGCUUGUAAAAAAAUUCAUAAAAAUAAAAAAAAAAAAACCUUGAAUUCAAACAAUUCAGAACAAAUAAUAUUCCUUAAAUUAAACAUCCAUUUAAUUGUAAAAUAGGUACCAACAACUUCUAAGAAUUGCUAAUCAAAAUGUAUCCAUAUAAACUAAUAAUACUCGUAAAAUCCAUAUUAUUUGGAAUACAUUUUUACCAAAAACAAAAAAAGAUAAUAAUCUUGUGAUCUUCAAGUCUUCAAUUUAUUAGCUAAAACCCUUCAAUGAGCAAGCUAAAUACCAUCCAAAAUUCUUCUAUCUGCAAUUUGAACAAUGCACAUUGAUUAUUAUAUGUUGGCGAGAUCGUGGGUUCGUAACAAAAAAAUUAAAAAAUUAAAAACAUAAGUCCAUUAACUGACAGGCUUGUUCCUAGGACAACUGUUGGUACCAUCAGAACAAAGAAUAACUAUAAAUUGUGUACCAUGUAAAAAUGUUUAUCCACGAUAAAGAAACCACUGAUAAUAACAAACAUUCAAAAGACAAGUUAAAAAAGCCAUAGUGUUCCAACCCUUCAAACAUGGCCAAUUUGAAGUCUGACUCAUUUCAUAACCUAUCCUAUUGUGCUUCCUUCUAACUUGAAAAUACAUAUGAUUGAUUAAAUAAACAAAAUACAAGGGCAGAACCGCAAUACAACAUAUCACUCGAAGAGAAGUAAUCAAAUAAAGCCAUAAAGAUCCCAUCAGGUUCCAGCCAUCUAUCUUGUUUAAGACCAAUAUCCUUUCUAGUGACUAUGGGAUCAGGUUGAUAACACUAUAGCUUAGGACUUGAUCAUAACAUUCAGUAUGCACCCAAUGGCUAUACUGAAUAAUACUUUACUUCUGUUUACCCACAUGUUCCCAAUGAUACUUAUGCACAAAGAUAGGUGAACUAAACUACUAGAGGAUCAAUAACUAAUUAUAUAUGACUUGUUGUUUUCUCCCACCACAUUCCUUUCAAGUGCUAUAAAUAGAAAAGUGAAUUUUAAACCCAUAGACAUAACUCAUAAGUGGUCAAAUGGUGCUUAUCUGAACUCUUUGAACAUAACCAAUUUUUCAAAAAGAUAAGAAUAUCACAGACAGUAAGUAUGUUACCAAUAAAAGAAUAACUCUAAAAGAAUAUUAGGGAUGCACUUGAUUUUUGUAUUUUAACAUAGAUAUAUCAUCCCUCGGUUUUGUUUGUGUGUGUGUGUCCAUGUGUCUGACCGUGUGUGUGAUGCAUGCUCUAUCAUCUCUCAAACAUAAGUAGGCAAUCAAUCUCUAAGAACAAAAUAAAACGAUCACCUUGAAUUCUGCAGCCCUCUUGUCCACACCAUCUCCUAGGCUUUGAUAGUGUUUGUGCAUCCUACACCUGUGUAGUCUCAAAAAUUCCCCCAUUUGUUUGUCGACAAUAGUUCGAACAGAAGGAUCGGCAAAGUUUUACAUCGAACUUUACCUUCACAAACAUAAAAAGAAUACUUAAAUAAAUUAAUAAUUACAAUGUUAACGUAUCAUGUGAACAAUAAACAAAAAUUCUUUACCAAGAUUCUUUUAUAGAAUUUAUCUACUCCAUGUUUUUUUUUCGUCCAUCUGUGGCAUGCAAGAAGUGCUUCAGCACGACAUACUAUACCAACUUCUAGGAUAAAUUGUUUUCCCCAGUUACAAACUGGUCUUGCUAAACCUGGUUUGAAUUCUAUCUUUUGUUUUAUCAAACCAUCCUUUAUGAGGUCAUCGAGUUGCUGAUUCAGUGCCUUGCCUCUACAACGAGGAGGUUUGGAAGAUGAUGUUCAAAGAUUAAAAAAAAAUAAAAAAUAAAAAUAUUUAAUUAACUUUCAUGAAGCAAUGAUUACUAAUAACGAAAAAUGGAAAUAUACCACCAGUAUUUGAGCCCUGCUCAGAUGAUACAAAUCGUGAAUUCGAUCUUGACAUCAACCUUGAUCCACUUCCAGGUCCCAUAACUACACAUCGAAACAGAGAUUAACUGAACUGUGACUCUGUACAGUAAUUGUGAAUAAUAUGUAUGACGUAACUAGUUCAUAUAAUUACUAUACAAAGAACAGGAUUUCUUAAACCAUUCCAGCUACCAUGUUGGUUAAUAUCUGUGAGAGCAGCAUUGUCAAAGGCAUACAUGCAUAGCUCUAGACAAUAUCACAUAUAUGGGUCUGAAUCACGAGCAUAUAUAUGAAGUGUAUUUUGAAAAAAAACUGGCAAAGAGGAAGUCCACAUGGAGUAUAAAUAGGUCUUCACUCUUCAGUUCACAAGAUCGGCAGGUGAUAGUACUGAUAAAAAAAAACACAAAAAACAAAAAAAGAGAAAAUAAACUAUAUCAAUUUUUUAUUUGUUAACAGCUGAUGUUAAGAACCUCGUCAUUGUUAUGUAAGUAACAGAAAAUUGAAAACAUUAUAUUAGAUGGAAUCAAAUUAGCACUUCAAUGGUGUAGAAAGUAUCUAUCAAAAAGUUCAUAGAAUUAGUGUUUACAUUGAAAAGUAAAGUUAUUAAUUUUUUUAUUUAUUUGAAAAUACAUGUGAUUGCACACAUAAUUAUUAAUUGUAUGGGUUGCAUAAACCUAAACAACUAACAUGGAUUUUAUUUUUUGCAAAGUGAGCAUAAAGAAAUUCCAUGGCAGACACCAAAAAUUUCAAGCAUGAUUGAUUAUAAUGACAAAAGGGGGUGUAAUGGAGGGGUAAUUAUUUGAAACAAUUUCUAAAUUCUGAAUGUGCAUUGUUGCCCUGUAAAUUCAUCCAAUAAAAAAAAAUUAAUGGAAUGAGUUAGAUUUAGCAUAAUUAUACUACAAUCUCAAGGAAAAAACAUUCACGAAUUAGAUUUUUCUCCUCUUACAACCCUAAACUAAUAAGUAAUAACUUCUUUAAUUAUCGAAAAUUACCUGUUUUUUCUCCUCUUGCUACCCUUUAAUGACCACAGCCACACAAAUCUUCUCUGAAACACAGAUACAAGGAACAAAAUCUUACAAUUGAGAAUACAAAAAAUGAGUUUUUUGCUUAUUCAUGAAGAUUUUAGAGAAGAGUGACAACGAUUUAGAGAGAGAGAGACGAACCUGCAAAUGGUUGUGUUGCCCAGCCGCUUUUCUUUUUUCUCUUAUACUUAAGUUUUUCUUUGCAACAAUAGAAACCCUAGGGAAUAUAGACGGGUUUUUUAGAAACUAAAAAUAAAGACCGGGAAAUUUUAAGUGUUUGGUGCUCCCUAUUUUUUUUAUUUUUGUAUUUGGCGCCCAAUGUAACAGUAUCUCAUAUUAUUCUAGAUAGAUCUUUGCAUUCAGUCAAACUAAGUCAACCUAAUUACAAGAUAGUCAAAUUAAGUCAACUUAAUUGCAACUAGUCAAACUAAGUCAACCUAAUUACAAACUAGUCAAACUAAGUCAACCUAAUUACAAACUAGUCAAACUAAGUCAACCUAAUUACAAACUAGUCAAACUAAGUCAACCUAAUUACAAACUAGUCAAAAUAAAUCAAUGUUGUUGAGCUCGGAUUUGGAUUGGUUUUAGCUCGACUCGAAUUUGUUUUAUCCUCUAUACAAAUCGAGCUUGAAAAAAAAAAAAAAAAACCUAGCUAACUCAUACAAAAUUUGAGCUUAUGGGUGAUUUUAAAUCACCAUUUGAUUUUAUUUUAAACGAAGUCAAACUGGUUUUAUGAAGUCAGAAGUUGAUCAAUUUUAAAUUAAAUUGUCCAAAAACAAUGUCGAUAAAAUGUGUAAGAGACGGACAGACAGGAGUUUAAGUCACACUUUCGUUUUUAUUUUUUUUCUAGCUAUUGCAACGUUUUAAGUCGUUGCUAAUACUCUUUUUAAUUUGCUUUAUUAUCGAAAUUAUUGUUGCAACAGUGGGGAACGUUGCCAAUAGUCUCUUCUCAAUUGCAACGAGAAUAACGUUGCCAAUGAUCAUACUAAUAGCAACGAAAGUCACGUUACUAAUAAAUAAUAAUGAUAAAUAAUAAUUUCUUUUAAAAAAUAAUAUUUCUGCAACGUUAAUAAGCGUUGCAAAUAUGUAUUUUAUAUUUACAACGUUCAAAAACGUUGCAAAUGUUAUUUUUUGAUUUUAAAAUUAUUAUUUUUUAAAACAAUAUAUUGAAAAAUAUAUUAGCAACGUGUAAAAGCGUUGCUAAAGUAGUCGAUCAAGGUUAGUUUUGAAUUUGACAAUUUCAUUAGUUGCAACGUUGGAAAGCGUUGCAAGAACUAAUUAUUAGCAACACGAGGUGAGCGUUGCAACAAAAAAUGUUGCAAAUAAGCAAUUCUGUUGUAGUGAUCCUUGACGCACCACCGACACUGGAAGACCUGUAUGUCCGUGCUGAUAAGUACAUCAAACUUGAAGAGGCAUUGGCAAAAACAAGAGAGCAUGUCUCUGCCGUACAGACGGUCAAUUCCAAAAAUUCAGAGCCGAAAACAACAAAAGGUCCCCCCCGAGGUAAGCAAUCUAACAGCUCGGUUAAGCACAGGUUUCCUAACCCGUUCAAAUGUUCAUAUACGCAGCUGUAUGAACUAAUCAAAGAAGAAGAUUACUUCAAGCCAACAGUCCAUGAGCUUGAACCCAUAGAAGAAAAUCCAUACUGCAAGUUACACAAUUGCCGACAUCAUGCAACAGAAGAUUGUCGGUAUCUCCGAACCUAUUGCCACAAGCUCAGGAUGGAUGGACACUUGAAUGACUUCUUGGCAGAGGAGUCUGAUGACCUCCGCCAGAAGAUUAAUGAUAAGCGCAAAAGAACAGACAACACCUCCAAGGCAAAAGGAACGAUAAACAUGAUCAUGGAUACUCGUCCACCUGAAUGGACAUCCCGAGCUAAGCGACAGAAAGUGAAUCAUAUUCACCAUAUAUUUCAGCUCACUCAUCAGGCAGUGAUAGCCAAGCAGGUGCAAGGAAAGAAUGCACUGAUCUUUUCUGACCACGACUUGAAGAAGGUAUGCUUGCCACAUAAUGAUGCACUAGUUGUCCAUAUCCGAAUUGGUGGAUGGACCACUAAGAGAGUGCUAAUAGACCCAGGGAGCUCUUGUGACGUACUAUUUAACAAGGCUUUCGCUCAAAUUCUCAUGCCCGACUCGGUCUUACAGACCCCCAAUGUCACACUCUUUGCUUUCAACUCGACAGAGACAACGGCAAAGGGCCAGCUUACCCUCCCUGUCGCCACAGGAGAGGAUGAGAAUGAGGUUACAGUUGAAUGCCUCUUUUAUGUCCUUGAUGUUCCGACACAGUUCAAUGCUAUCCUUGGUCGGAAAUGGAUUCACAGGAUGGGAGUUGUUCCGUCUACAUACCACCAGGUCAUCAAAUUCCCUGGACCAAAUGGUAUAAUGGAACUCCGGGGUGACCAAAUUGAGGCACAUGGCUGCCACGCCAUUCCUGAGGUCAUACCCCUCCCUAAUAAGGAAGCAAAAAAGGUAACAGUCGUUAGCCCUGAAAAGCUCACUGUCAACCAAAUUUCUGAAGCCACUGACGGCAAGGCCACUACUGAGCCAAUUUCUGAAGCCACUGACGGCAUGGCCACUACUGAGCCAAUCUCUGAAGCCCUUUACGGCAAAGUCGGUACUGAGCCAAUUUCUAAAGCCACUGAUGGCAUGGCCACUACUGAACCGAUCUCUGAAGCCCUUGACGGCAAGGUCGGUACUGAGCUAAUUUCUGAAGCCUCUGACGGCAAGGCCAUUUCUGAGCCACUCACUGAUGCCACUGAAGGCAAGCUUGUCACCGACUCCCCAACCAUCGAGAAGGGUGAGCCAGUCAACAUAGGCACUGAAGCCGAACCUAGAGUUGUAUAUGUAGGAGCUAAUUUAGACCCUAUUGUAAAAGAUCAACUCAUUGCAACUUUGAAAAUGAAUAAGAAUAUUUUUGCUUGGUCGUAUAUUGACAUGCCUGGUAUAGACAUUAAUAUUGCAUGCCAUAAACUUCAUGUCGAUCCAACGAAAAGACCAGUAAAACAAAAGGCACGGAAAUUGGCACCCCACUUAGCAAAAGCGGUCAAUACCGAGGUCCAGAAACUAAUUGAUGCUAAAUUCAUACGAGAAGUCAAAUAUCCCGACUGGCUCUCGAACAUAGUAGCCGUCGUGAAGCCUAACCGCAAAAUUCGAGUAUGCAUAGACUUUACAGACCUAAAUAAGGCAUGCCCAAAGGAUAGCUUUCCACUACCAAGGAUAGACCAACUAGUGGAUGCUACUGCGGGCCACGAGCUCCUCUCAAUGAUGGAUGGUUACUCAGGGUAUAACCAAAUUAAGCUCGCAGAAGAAGAUCAGGAAAAAACAGCAUUCAUUACGGAAAGAGGUACGUAUUGCUACACGGUCAUGCCCUUUGGCUUACGCAAUGCCGGGGCUACAUAUCAACGACUUGCAACGCGAAUGUUCGAGGAUAUGAUAGGUGACACCAUGGAGGUAUAUGUAGAUGAUAUGAUAGUUAAAAGUAAACUCAAAUCAUCUCACAUAUCCUACCUGGAAAAGACCUUCAAAAGGCUACAUGACUUCAACAUGAAGCUUAACCCACAAAAAUGCCUAUUUGGAGUCGCAUCAGGUAAAUUUUUGGGCUAUCUCAUCACACAACGAGGAAUUGAAGCUAACCCAGAGAAAAUCAGGGCAAUAUUGGACAUGCCGAGUCCCUCAACGAAGAAGCAAGUCCAAAAGUUAAACGGAAUGCUAGCUGCACUAAACAGGUUCAUUACUCGUGCAUCGGACAAGCAAAGACCAUUGCUACAGCUACUCAAGAAAGGUUCCAAAUACGAGUGGACGACAGAAUGCCAGCAGGCAUUCGACGAACUAAAGCUUUACUUGGCGACCCCGCCAGUCAUAACAGUACCCCAGCCAGGGGACGUACUCGGAUUAUACCUUGGCAGCUCCGACCAUGCAAUCAGCGCUGUUCUCUUCAGAGACGAACAAGGUAACGAACGACCCAUUUAUUUCAUUAGUAAAACUCUGCUAUAGUCCGAACUCAGGUACUCUAGCCUCGAGAAAGUAGGACUGGCCCUAUUAUUCGCCUCUAGGAAGCUGAAACCAUACUUUCAGUCACACAAGAUUAGAGUUAUAACUGAUGCCCCAUUGAGGCAAGUGUUGGAAAAUAAGAACAAGUCAAGUCGAAUGGCUAAAUGGGCCCAGGAGCUGGGGGAUCACGAACUCAUUUUUACCCCCCGGAAUAGCAAGAAAGGCCAGGUCGUCGCCGACCUGCUUGUUGACUAUCCAAUCGAAGAUAUCACCUGGAUACCCGAGGAAGAACCGCGGGACAAUUUCCCACAAGGAGAACCCAUGUGGAAGUUAUAUGUAGACGGAUCAAAAAACAAUAACGGAGUCGGGAUAGGUAUAACACUCAUAUCUCCUGAGAAGGUAAUAAUCGAGAAGUCAAUACGACUGAACUUCACCUCUUCGAAUAACGAUGCGGAAUACGAGGCCCUGGUAAUGGGCUUACGAAUGGCAAGGGAUAUUAACUUGCAAAAAAUCAAGAUUUACAGUGAUUCCCAGUUAGUAGUAAGUCAACUACUUGGGGAUUAUGAAACAAGGGAAGAAACACUUAAGUUAUAUCUUCAUUACACGAAGUGUUUGCUAAGCAGUUUCGAGAAAUGGGAAAUCCAACAUAUUCCCCGGGAUGAAAACCGUCACGCGAAUAGUCUCGCCAACCUGGCAUCCCAGGUCGACACGGAAACAACCAGGGAGAUACAGGUCCAAAUAAGAAAUACUCCAGCAUACGAAGACACAUCCCUUCACGUCAAUACAAUCUCAGACUUCAUUGACAUAUCUGAACAAGAAAUCCAGGACUCGUGGAUGGCCCCGAUAAUGAACUACAUUAAGGGAGUCUAUCCAGACGACGAGUCGGAAAUCAGAAAACUGGAACGAAAAUCUAAGAGUUACUUGAUCCUCGAUGGAAGGCUAUACAGAAAAUCGGUCCGAGGACCUUACCUCAGAUGCCUACCACCUCGUCAAGCUCAGAUGAUCCUAGCAGAAAUCCACCAAGGAGAGUGUGGAAACCAUGCCGGGGCUCGUUCCCUAGCACAGAAAGCAAGAAACCAGGGAUACUUCUGGCCCUACAUGCAGGCCGACUCGGAGAUCUUUGUGCAACAUUGCGACAAAUGCCAACGAUUCUCUCCUCUACAAAAUCAACCCCCGAGAGAUCUAAAGACGAUAUCUAGCCCAUGGCCAUUUGCCAUGUGGGGCCUCGAUAUUGUAGGACCACUUUCGAGGGAUAGGAGUAAGAAACGAUAUCUCUUGGUUGCCACGGAUUACUUUACUAAAUGGGUAGAGGCAAUUCCACUUCGGAAAAUUAGACAACAAGAGGUCAAGAAUUUCAUUUGGAAAUACAUAAUCACUCGAUUUGGCUUACCACACACAUUGGUUACGGAUAAUGGCCAACAAUUUUGUGGUAACACGAUUAAGGAGUUUUACUCGGAUUGGCGAAUCAAUCACGCACUAUCUACACCAAGAUACGCACAAAGUAACGGCCAGGCUGAAGCCACUAACAAGACAAUAAUGAAUACGCUCAAGAAAAAGUUAGAGGCGGAAAAAGAUAAGUGGAUAAAGGAGCUAGAUAGAGUCGUAUGGGCCUACAGAACGACUCCACGCACAUCAACAGGCGUCUCACCGUUCGCAUUAUGCUACGGUACUGAGGCUGUUAUUCCCACCGAGUUGACCUACUUAACAACUAGGUCGGAAUUGGUAGAAUCAGAGGAAAACGAAGAUCUACUAGCACAUGAGGUGGACAUGUUAGAAGAAAGGCGAGAUAAGGCUAUCAUACAAACAGCUCGUUACCAGCAAAUACUAAGGAGGAGCUACAAUCAAAGAGUAAAACCAAGGACUUUCCGAACAGGAGACUUGGUCUUAAGACAAACCUUUCAGAACACCAAGAUCGCGGGCGAUGGAAAAUUCAACCCCAAUUGGGAAGGACCCUACAUUAUUCAAUCCGACUUGGGUAAUGGAGCAUACAGGUUAAUUGAUCAUGAAGGAAACCGAGUCGAUAGACCGUGGAAUGGAAAAUAUCUUAAGGCAUACAUUCCGUAGAAUACAAACUUCAGUCUAGGGCAUCAACUCUAUACUUAGAAUAUUUAAGGCAGACAAUAGGAUGCAUACAUGAAUAAAACAGAUUCUUUCAAAACAAAGUGUACAUUCAAAACAUUCAUAUUCGAAGGACCGACCUGAGUCGAAAUUAUCCCUCUUUAGUUUCAUACAGCCAGGUGCUCAAAAGCAAAAACCUCACAUCUCUCAAACGAAGAAAAUAGCUAGGCAACAGCCUCAUGAUCCAUGGCCUCAGCUCCUUCACCCUCCGGCACAACGACCUCAUCAACCUGCGCACCAGCCUCGUCCACUCCAUCAUCACGCUCGAGUUCGCUAGCCAGGUUAGCGGCUCUCUCCAUCUCCACUUGUUGAUCCGAGUCGAACUAUGCUUGGGCUUCGGCAUUGAUUUGUUCAUUAUCGGCUAUAGGCUCAAAGUCGGGGAUGACUUCCUUAAGCUUCAACUCGCGACAGAUUCCACGACGCUGCCAGUAAUACGCCAUCUUCUGCCAAGCAGUGAUACUUUCGACCGACCUGGCAUUAUCGGCCUCAUACCUCUCAUUGGUAUCUUUCAACUCGGCAUCGAGUGCAGCAUUCUUCUUCUUCACCUCCAACACUUCUUUGUUCACCUCCAACACUUCGUUGUUGAGGAUCCUCACUUUCUUCUCCUCCUUCUCUAGCCGAUCGCGCAGCUUCUUCAACUCGGCACGUUCGGCAGCAAGUGCCUCCUUAGCCUUCCUGGCCUCCCGCUCUUUCUCAUUGGCUCUCUCGAGCAGAGCCAUCCACUUGCAAUGGAUAAUGUUCAUCUGAAAUGAAGGACCACCUGAGAUUAGCAAACACAAGUAUCGAGGAAGGAAUAGAAAAAUCGAAAAGAAUUUACCUUGUACAUAGACGAGCUCAGAUCCUUCAAGUCGUCCAUGAUCGAACGCUCGCAUACCCGAGCCCCAUCAGCAUCUAGAGCCAGGUGUUCCAUCAGGGUGAUGCACAUAUCUUCAUCUUCCCAAGCAGCAUCGCUGGAUCUCACAUAAGUAUCCUUGUAAGGGAAUACAGGUGCAAAAUGACCAUCAGCAGGGCAAGUCGGAGGAACCUCGUCAUCUAGCUGGACCGACUUCCCUUUCUGUUGCUUCGCCUGCUGGGCACGAACUCGCUGGGCCUCCCUCUCUUUCCCAGCCCUCUCAGCAUCACUGAGGAUUGUUAUGCCAGGUGCAGCGACGGUUACACCCGCCGGCUUCGAAGUUUUCCUCUUCUUCGAGGUUUCCAACUUGAUCUCCACCCUACCGAACUGGCUGCCCGGUGGGCCAGGAAUAAGCUUUGGAGGCAUCGGUAGAGCGGCUCGACGAACGAUAGGGAUAUCUCCGGGUCGGGGACAGGCAAUUGUGGCAACUGCCACAGCGGUAGGUAAGUCCUUCUUCUUUCUGACCGCCUUUACCUUAGAAACGGCUGGCUCGGUACGCGCACCACCAGCAACUCUUUUUGGACGGGGAUCCUUAAACAAAUGCGCAAGGUGAGGCAGGAUCGCACGCUUGCGUUCCCAGGACUCUUCCGCAAACUCGAUAAUAUUACCCGGAAGGAUGCGCCCGUCAAUCUUCUGAUUAUAAUCCCGAGUAUAAUCUACAGUACCUACCAAGGAAAAAGUCAGAGACCAUGGAGGAACACAGAAAUAAAGCAAGUACAAAGUACAAAUCAAACGACCUAAAUACCUAUGCGGGGAAUGCGCAAGUGCUUCAGAUAGGCACUAGGCUUGAUAAACGACCCUCUAAUCCUAUAACAUGCCGACUUCUUCCAAAUGUAUGGGUAGAACCCAUGAAAUUUAAUCCAGAGAGGUUUGAGGGAAUUGAAAAUGUAAAUGAUGGAUUCAAGUUUAUUCCAUUUGGGUCAGGAAGAAGAAGAUGUCCUGGUGAGGGUUUGGCAACUCGAAUGGUAGCGCUUACAUUGGGCUCAUUGAUCCAAUGUUUUGAGUGGAAAAGGGUGCGGGAAGAAAUGGUGAAUAUGCGCGAAGGGACUGGAAUCACAUUAGCUAGGGCUAAUCCAUUAGUUGCAAUGUGCAAGCCAAAUCCAGCCAUAAAACACAUAAUUACUAAAAUUUGAAAAUCUAGUUCUGAUGUUUAGGAACAUAUGUUAUGUAUAUACCCAUUACCGAGUUCCUUCACUCGGAAUACCAAACACCGACUUUACACUUAUUUCAUCCGACUUCGCAUCUAAUCACACUUCAUUCAUUUCCAUUCAAAUCUUAAUCUUACCAACUCGGUAUGUAAAACACCGACUUGACACUUAUUUCAUCCGACUUCGUAUAAAACCAUAUUUCAUUCAUUUUCAUUCAAAUCCUAAUCUCAUAAAGUAUCCGAGCACAUCCGACUUGGGGCUAACUCACUCUGAACACCGAGUUCGACACAUUCAAACUCCAAAUCAUACGACGGUUACGAAUCUAUCCCAUUGAAUCCCUGAAUAUCCGCACACUUUAUGAUCCGAACGUUGAGCCAUUAUUGAUCCACAACCUAAGCCACCUAUAAAAGGAACUACGUUUGGCUUGAUUCUGGAUCGCCCCUUCCAGAUACGUAGGCAGCUAUCCAUGCUCAGAUAGUUCAGCCACUCUCAAUCACUCAAAACCUUCCUCUCUCCGAUCAUCUUCCACAACUUUCCGGCUAGAAUUUCCACUACAUUUACAUGUUAUAUGAUAUGUAAGGCUUGAAAUAUAUGUAUCUUAUUCCAAACUCUAUUGCAGAUUGUGUAUCGCACAAUGAAUAAAUUAAUAUAUAAUACUUUGCUAAAGCAUGACUAAAACAUAUUUUGGUGCAAAUAAAAACAACGGCUAGUUUAGUUGGUUUGUUAUCCCUCUCAAACACCACGAGUGAGAGGUUGUGACUUGAAUUCCCACCAACUGAUCAACAACAUGUGGGGGUAAGAGAAAAUAACUAAACUAGCCUUUGGGUCUUGUUCGUGAUAGGCCUUAUUAGGGUGGAGCAAGAGAAAACAAGUUUAGUCUUCAAUAGAGUUGCCUAGUUUCAGAUGUAACUCUUCGGGUGAUACGAACAAAGCCCAAAGGCUAGCCCAUCUAAGAACUACACGAGAAAUUCUCCCAAACGUUGUUAUUGGUGGGAAUUGAACUCACAACCUCUCACUCGUAGGAGUGUUUAGAGAUAAUAAACCAAUUGAUCAAGCUAGCAACUUUUGUUUAAGCACUACUUAAUUAUUACAUCCACUAGUAUGCAUCCAUUUCACUUCAUACAUACAGAUACUAGAAGAAGUGUCAAGGCUUUUCGAGUGGAAAAGGGUUGGGGACAAAAUGGUGGAUAUGCGCGAAGGGACUGGACUCACAUUACCAAGGGCUAAUCCAUUAGUUGCUAUGUGCAAACCAAAUCCAUCUUUGAAACACCUUUUGUUUUCAUUCAUGAUUUUAUUUUAUUUCUUACAUCAAUAAUUAGGUUGCAGAAACCAAGCAAAGUUAGUAAUAUCGUGCACAUUUCUUUUAUAUUUUGCACUUUUCUUCUGGAAUUUAUGGAUUAAUUUACAUAUAGUUUGCUAAUCCGUUUUUCCAGGGUCAAGUUAAUUUAUGGAUUAAUUUACAUAUAGCAAUAUUGCGAGCAAAGUUCAAUUUGAUUCCCCCUGCAUGGCUGCAUGAACUGAUCAAGUUGCAACCAUUAUCUUUGUUAACAUCAUGAACUGCACCAUCUUUGCGGUUAAUAAUAAAUUGACAACAUAAGAUUACGACAUCGUCAGUCUUUGAUAUAUAUAGUUGCAUUGUAAGACUGGCACCUACUGAAGUAAGAACUUUCGAACAUUACUCGACUGCCAUUCACUGAUUUUAAGAGUCAGACAAGCAUUCAAGUGAUCAUAACUUGCUUGCUAUUAAUUCCUGCCUACGUACUCGUCAGUCACACAGAUUGAAAUCAUGGAUUUCUCCUUCAUUUUAGCAUUCUUGGUUUUCUUUGUAACAAACAUGUUCAAGCAAUUCUUUUAUCAAAACAUUACAAAAAAAUCAUCAAUCCCCUACAUAUUUUAGAUAGAGAUGGUUUGGUGGUGGCAUAACAAACAAAAUUGCGGCGCCUCUGCAUCAUGCUCCUCACUGUUAGCAAGGUGUUGCCGUGUUGGUGGCAUAAACAUAGCAGUCUCUUGCAAAGAUUUUGAUUGCGUUGUGAUCAGGAAAAUGAAGUAAGAUCUGUAUUUAUGCCAACAAUUGAAUCAAACCUUAAGCUAAAUUAAGUUCUUAUGACAGAGUAAUAUAUGUUGAAGCUGAAACAAUUACAGCUUGUUACCCUGUUGAGCUCAGUCAGUUUCUCCACUUACGGUAGUCAAUUCAGCUAGCCAGUUCAGUUUUAUUAAACGAUCUUAUCAUCGAUCUAUAACAAGAUUUACCACAACUUUUGGCUAGGCAAGACAAAUAAAACCACCAUAUAUCAGUAUACCACAGAUGGUUUUUGUGCAGUCACGACUAUAUGCACAAACUGUUGGGUUUGUUAUGGAAAACAAGAGGACAAGAGGAAGUUUUUUGUCUGGGAACGUACGUACGUAGUUAGGGCGUACGUACGUCCCGUAUCACAGACAACUUGGUUUUUGCUGAACGUACGAACGUCAAUUAAACGUACGAACGUUGUAUUACUUGUUCAGGAACGUACGUACGUAGUUAGGGCGUACGUACGUCAGAUAACUUCUCCGUGGCUCGACGUACGAACGUGAUUUCGACGUACGUACGUCCUCCUUUGUUUUUGUGCAAUAUGGGCCUGUUUAAGCCCAAUUCGUGGUCUAUUGUAAGGCUAUGGUAUAAAGCCAAAUAGAAGUGGAAAAACCUAAUUAUGUUUUUUAAGUGAGAGAUUGUGAGAAGCCAUUAGAGAGUUUGAGAACUUUUGUGAGGAAGAAGACUUCGGUUUCUUCGUGAGGGCUUGUACAAUUGUCUCGAUAAGAAAAGUAUCAUCAUUUCUCCCCGUGGACAUAGGCAUAUUGCCGAACCACGUAUAUCUUGUGUCUUGUGUGGUUGCUUGUUUGAUUUUGUCGUUUUGUUUUACUUUCAUACACUAGUUCAAUCAUAUUAUUUGUGCAUUAGUUUCCGCUGCGCACAACAAAUGGUAUCAGAGCUUCGGUUAGAUCUUGAGCGUCUUGAAGGUGUUUGAAGAAACUCCGCAGUGAGUUUCUUAAUUGUCUUUCAAGUCCAAGGUUCUACCUUUUGUUCGUGGGUUGCAUAGAAGGUGUUUGUUGAAAUUCCGGUGUGAAUUUCAGAUUUGUUUACCUUCGUUUGGUGAUUGUUUAGUGCAUGAAAGUUGGUGGAAAGAUGGCAAAAGAAUUGAAUUCGAAGGAUUCGAAGGGGGAAAUCAAGACAUGUAGAGAAGUUUACCGGCACCAAUAACUUUGGUAUGUGGAGGUGUGAGGUAAUGGAUGCUCUAUGUCAACAAGACCUAGAAGAUGUUCUGGAGGAUAAGCCAGAAGGUGUGGAAGAGAAGGAUUGGAAGAAGAUGAACAAACGAGCUUGUGGAAUCAUAAGAUCGUGUUUGGCUCAAGACAUUAAAUACCUUGUGAUGAAUGAUACUUCUGCAAAGGAGAUUUGGCGAAAAUUGGAGGAGAAGUACUUGACAAAGACUAUCCACAAUAAAAACUAUUUACUUCGAAAGUUUUAUCGAAUAGAUAUGAGAAAAGGUAUUUCAAUGGCGGAGCAUCUUAAUGAUUUUACCAAGGUAAUUGCCGACUUGGUGAAUCUUGGAGCAAAUGUAAGUGAUGAAAGCAAGGCAGUGUGUCUCCUCAAUUCGUUACCGAACGAAUAUGAACACUUGGCUAUCACACUUACAUAUGGAAAAGACAAGUUGGUGUAUAGUGAGAUUUCUGCAGCAUUGUUAAAUCAUGCGUGUAUGAAGAAGGACCAUCAUUGUUAAAUCAGCAUUGUUAAAUCAGCAUUUUUACAUCUUCCGAAAAUGAACCAAGAACAAUUUCCAUAAACGCACAGAUAGGUGUAGUAGAAGAGAUGUACAACAUGAACUGAUUAAGUUGCAACCUUAUCUUUGUUAACAUCAUGAACUGCACCAUCUUUGCAGUUGAUAAUGAAUUGACAGCAUAAGAUUACGACAUCACCGGUCUUUGAUAAUGAAUGGCGUUGUAAGACUGGCACCUAUAUAAGUAAGAAUCUUCGAAAAAUAAGAGACCGACGACUCAACUCUCAACUGCCAUUCACUGACUUAAAAAGUCAGCCUUAUAUUCAAGUGAUCAUGGUUAGGUUGCCAUAAUGCCAUUAAUUCCUGCCUAUAUAUACACUAUUACUUGAACAAUAUUUUUAACUCAUAGAGUCAUGGAUACCUUUUUCAUUUUAGCAUUCUUGGUUUUGUUUGUAAUCAUCAUGUUCAAGCAAAUCUUUUAUCAAAACAGUACAGACAAACCGUCAAUACCUUACCCUCUUCCCAUACUAGGCCAUUUACACCGAAUCAUCAAGAAACCCCUCCAUAGAACACUAGCCAAACUUUCUGAUAAAUAUGGUCCAAUUUUAUUCCUACGUUAUGGUUUUCGCAGAGUCCUACUCAUCUCAUCCCCAUCCGCUGUUGAGGAAUGUUUAACCAAGAAUGAUAUUGCAUUUGCAAAUCGACCACAUCUUAUAGUGGGUGAACACCUUGGUUACAAUUGUACUAGCCUCGCUUUCGCUUCAUAUGGUGAUCAUUGGCGCAACCUACGCCGCAUAACU
rnacentral:lncRNA from 1 species